CCUACGGGGUGCAGCAGUGGGGAAUAUUGCACAAUGGGGGAAACCCUGAUGCAGCGACGCCGCGUGAGUGAGGAAGUAUUUCGGUAUGUAAAGCUCUAUCAGCAGGGAAGAAAAUGACGGUACCUGACUAAGAAGCCCCGGCUAACUACGGGCCAGCAGCCGCGGUAAUACGUAGGGGGCAAGCGUUAUACGGAUUUACUGGGUGGAAAGGGAGCGUAGACGGAAUAGCAAGUCUGAUGUGAAAACCCGGGGCUCAACUCCGGGAGUGCAUUUGAAACUGUUGAUCUAGAGUGUAGGAGAGGCAAGCGGAAGUCCUAGUGUAGCGGUGAAAUGCGUAGAUAUUAGGAGGAACACCAGUGGCGAAGGCGGCUUUCUGGACGAUAACUGACGUUGAGGCUCGAAAGCGUGGGGAGCAAACAGGAUUAGAUACCCCAGUAGUC
rnacentral:rRNA from 1 species